AACGAACGCUGGCGGCAUGCCUAACACAUGCAAGUCGAACGAGACCUUCGGGUCUAGUGGCGCACGGGUGCGUAACGCGUGGGAACCUGCCCUUAGGUUCGGAAUAACUCUCAGAAAGGGGUGCUAAUACCGGAUAAUGUCUUCGGACCAAAGAUUUAUUGCCCUUGGAUGGGCCCGCGUUGGAUUAGCUAGUUGGUAGGGUAAAAGCCUACCAAGGCGACGACCCAUAGGUGGUCUGAGAGGAUGAUCAGCCACACUGGGACUGAGACACGGCCCAGACUCCUACGGGAGGCAGGAGUGGGGGAUAUUGGACAGUGGGCGAAGGCCUGAUCCAGCAAUGCCGCGUGAGUGAUGAAAGCCUUAAGGUUGUAAAGCUCUUUUACCCGGGAUGAUAAUGACGGUACCGGGAGAAUAAGCUCCGGCUAACUCCGUG
rnacentral:rRNA from 1 species